AUUGAACGCUGGCGGCAUGCCUUACACAUGCAAGUCGAACGGCAGCACGGGUGCUUGCACCUGGUGGCGAGUGGCGAACGGGUGAGUAAUAUAUCGGAACGUACCUUAUCGUGGGGGAUAACGCAGCGAAAGCUGCGCUAAUACCGCAUACGCCCUGAGGGGGAAAGCGGGGGACCGUAAGGCCUCGCGCGAUUAGAGCGGCCGAUAUCUGAUUAGCUAGUUGAUGAGGUAAAGGCUCACCAAGGCAACGAUCAGUAGCUGGUCUGAGAGGACGAUCAGCCACACUGGGACUGAGACACGGCCCAGACUCCUACGGGAGGCAGCAGUGGGGAAUUUUGGACAAUGGGGGCAACCCUGAUCCAGCAAUGCCGCGUGAGUGAAGAAGGCCUU
rnacentral:rRNA from 1 species